UUAACCAAGAUAAACCUCCAAGACUGUUGAGCUGUCUUACCUUGUUUUCCUCUUGAAUGGCCUUCGCCUGCCGUAAAAUGAACGGCAGGUAAGAACCCAGGACCUUCUCUUUGUGCUUCUUGUGAAAAACCAGCUCAUAGGAUCUUAGUCGUGCUACUAAGGUAUAAUUUCUAACCUCAGAGUUUUCUCUAAUAACCAUCCUCCACUUUACUUCAAUAUUUUCAAAAACAUCAAGAAUUUCUUGGUCUCUGUCCAGGGAAAUCGCUGGUUUUUUCUCUUUCUCCUUCUUGCAUGCCUUUAUUCUUCGAAUUGAUGGAGCCGAUUUAGUUCCCAGAUAAGUCUCAGCAGCCAAA
rnacentral:lncRNA from 1 species